GAUGAACGCUGGCGGCGUGCUUAACACAUGCAAGUCGAACGAAGCACUUAAGAUUGAUUCUUCGGAUGACGUUUUUUGUGACUUAUUGGCGGACGGGUGAGUAACGCGUGGGUAACCUGCCUCAUACUGGGGGAUAACAGUUAGAAAUGACUGCUAAUACCGCAUAACCCGAUAGGAUCGCAUGAUCCAGACGGAAAAGAUUUAUCGGUGUGGGAUGGACCCGCGUCUGAUUAGGUAGUUGGUGAGGUAACGGCCCACCAAGGCGACGAUCAGUAGCCGGAGUGAGAGGGUGAACGGCCACAUUGGGACUGAGACACGGCCCAAACUCCUACGGGAAGCAGCAGUGGGGAAUAUUGCACAAUGGGGGAAACCCUGAUGCAGCGACGCCGCGUGAGUGAAGAAGUAUUUAGGUAUGUAAAGCUCUACCAGCAGGGAAGAAAAUGACGGUACCUGACUAAGAAGCCCCGGCUAACUACGUG
rnacentral:rRNA from 1 species